rnacentral:rRNA from 1 species
UACGUAGGGAGCAAGCGUUGUCCGGAAUCAUUGGGCGUAAAGCGCGCGUAGGUGGCCCCAUAAGUCCGCUGUGAAAGUCAAAGGCUCAACCUUUGAAAGCCGGUGGAUACUGUGGGACUAGAGUACGGAAGAGGCGAGUGGAAUUCCUGGUGUAGCGGUGGAAUGCGCAGAUAUCAGGAGGAACACCAAUAGCGAAGGCAGCUCGCUGGGACGUUACUGACGCUGAGGAGCGAAAGUGUGGGGAGCGAACAGG